rnacentral:rRNA from 1 species
GACGAACGCUGGCGGCGCGCUUAACACAUGCAAGUCGAACGGAAAGGCCUGCUUUCCCUUGUGGAUUGCGGGUACUCGAGUGGCGAACGGGUGAGUAACACGUGAGUGAUCUGCCCCCAACUUGGGUAUAAGCCUGGGAAACUGGGUCUAAUUCCCGAUAGGACUGCAGGGUGGUGCCUGUGGUGGAAAACGAUUUUCUAGUGGUUGGGGAUGAGCUCGCGGCCUAUCAGCUUGUUGGUGGGGUAAUGGCCUACCAAGGCGGCGACGGGUAGCCGGCCUGGGAGGGUGGACGGCGACAUUGGGACUGAGAUACGGCCCAGACUCCUACGGGAGGCAGCAGUGGGGAAUUAUGCACAAUGGGCGGAAGCCUGAUGCAGCGACGCCGCGUGGGGGAUGACGGCCUUCGGGGUGUAAACUCCUUUCGACCGCGAGGGAGCCACCUGGUUGGAAGGGUGGUGACGGUAGUGGUAGAAGAAGCACCGGCUAACUACGUG